UAGGCCAUCAGGUCCUAGGGCCCCUGACCCUCUGGGUCUGAUCCUUUACUGGCGCCCCACUCGUAGGAGCUCCCUUGCAAGAGGAGACUUCUUCAAGCCUCCCAAGUUACCGCCAUUCCUUGAGGAGGCUCACUGGUGUGCCCAGCCAGUAGGGACCUAGGGCAUCAGGUCUCAGGACCACUGACCCUCUGGGUCAAGUCCACUUCACCCCUCCCCACACCGUUGGAGCUCCCCUGUUGGAGCAAUCUCCAAGGCCCCCACGUUGCUCCCCCUAUUUCGUGAGGAGGCUGAUCGGUGUUUGGCCAGUAAGGACCUAGGCCAUCAGGUCCUAGGGCCCCUGACCCUCUGGGUCUGAUCCUUUACUGGCGCCCCACUCGUAGGAGCUCCCUUGCAAGAGGAGACUUCUUCAAGCCUCCCAAGUUACCGCCAUUCCUUGAGGAGGCUCACUGGUGUGCCCAGCCAGUAGGGACCUAGGGCAUCAGGUCUCAGGACCACUGACCCUCUGGGUCAAGUCCACUUCACCCCUCCCCACACCGUUGGAGCUCCCCUGUUGGAGCAAUCUCCAAGGCCCCCACGUUGCUCCCCCUAUUUCGUGAGGAGGCUGAUCGGUGUUUGGCCAGUAAGGACCUAGGCCAUCAGGUCCUAGGGCCCCUGACCCUCUGGGUCUGAUCCUUUACUGGCGCCCCACUCGUAGGAGCUCCCUUGCAAGAGGAGACUUCUUCAAGCCUCCCAAGUUACCGCCAUUCCUUGAGGAGGCUCACUGGUGUGCCCAGCCAGUAGGGACCUAGGGCAUCAGGUCUCAGGACCACUGACCCUCUGGGUCAAGUCCACUUCACCCCUCCCCACACCGUUGGAGCUCCCCUGUUGGAGCAAUCUCCAAGGCCCCCACGUUGCUCCCCCUAUUUCGUGAGGAGGCUGAUCGGUGUUUGGCCAGUAAGGACCUAGGCCAUCAGGUCCUAGGGCCCCUGACCCUCUGGGUCUGAUCCUUUACUGGCGCCCCACUCGUAGGAGCUCCCUUGCAAGAGGAGACUUCUUCAAGCCUCCCAAGUUACCGCCAUUCCUUGAGGAGGCUCACUGGUGUGCCCAGCCAGUAGGGACCUAGGGCAUCAGGUCUCAGGACCACUGACCCUCUGGGUCAAGUCCACUUCACCCCUCCCCACACCGUUGGAGCUCCCCUGUUGGAGCAAUCUCCAAGGCCCCCACGUUGCUCCCCCUAUUUCGUGAGGAGGCUGAUCGGUGUUUGGCCA